UUCUUCUAUGUUUAGCAAACUCACAUACGUCACAUUUGAAUUCAGAUGCAUUCAGAUUGUGAAAUAAGGAAACAAAGUUUUUAGAGUCAAAAAAGAGGAAUGUCCUAAUCUUCAAUGUUGAAACUAAAUUUUGUCCAUGUUUGACAGGUGGAGAUCCUUAGUAAUACUACUUUGAUCUACUGCUUUGUUAGAUUGGCUUGGAAGUUCUAGAUAAUAGAGUUCGCUCCAUUCUUUAGCAUGUCCAAUCGUCCUCCCAAAUGUCUUGUCAAAGAAAAGACAAGUAUUAAGAUCAAAGUUGACAUUACCUAGAUCUUGUGUAAGUUUACUAAUAGACAUGAGGCUAGAGGUUAACAUAAGUACAUUUUUCAGAACGAUGUCUGGUGAUAAUUAGAUAUUUCUUAGUUCAAUAAUUGUGACAGAAGAUCCUCCAAUUGUGGUGAUUUUUCUAUUACUAGGAAAAGGGGCAUAGGAGUUGAACAAAUGAGAGGUAUAGGUUAUGUGGUCUGUGGCACCUGAAUCCGCUAUCUAGAGUGAAGGUUUACUAUUUAUAUAAGCACUAAAUCUAGUAAAAGUAAGAGACUUUCUUGAACAAGCAAGUGCCAAUGAGGCUUCCAUGCUAACUUGCUUUUGAUCUGAGGUAAUAUUUUCUUCUGGUUGUGCCACAGUGAAAUGGACUUGGUCUCCUACCCUUUGUUAUCCCUUUACAUGAUGUGGAGGCCUCCGAUGUAGCUUAUUACAUCUAUCAAUUGUGUGACUCGGUUUUCUGCGGUAGGUACACCACAUCGUGUCUUGAAAGUCACUACUAUGAGUCUUUUCUAAUCUUGGAGAUCGACCUCUGAAUUUUGUAUUAUUGCUGUUAUAAUUUUUUCCACCUUUAGCCACAAAUGCUGAACUAUCCAUAUUUCCAGAACCAAGCAUCAAAUUUCAACUUUCUUCUUCCAUAAUUAAGGAGAUUACUUCAUUUAGAGGAGGUAACUUUUNNNNNNNNNNNNNNNNNNNNACCUCUGAAUUUUGUAUUAUUGCUGUUAUAAUUUUUUCCACCUUUAGCCACAAAUGCUGAACUAUCCAUAUUUCCAGAACCAAGCAUCAAAUUUCAACUUUCUUCUUCCAUAAUUAAGGAGAUUACUUCAUUUAGAGGAGGUAACUUUUCCCUUCCUAGGAUUUGAAUUCUAACUUGAUCAUUUUCAGAAUUCAAUCCUACAAGAUAUUCAUAUGUUUGAUC
rnacentral:lncRNA from 1 species